rnacentral:lncRNA from 1 species
UGAACGUCGUCAUGGUGAAGCUCGAGGCCAUGAUGAUGGAUGGAGCAUUGUCGCCGUCAAGUAAGUUAGUUUGUCUUGUUCUUUUCUGAAUUGUGAACGCUUUCGUAGGAAAAUGAGAUCGGAGUCGUAGUAUCUCUUAAGAAAUCAUCCAUCUCGGUACUGGUAUUGAUUGUAUAGGUCGGGAAACGAAAAAUUCACCUGUUGUACCACCAUUGUUAUGCUCGUCACUUAUGCCAUGCAUAGAUGGAUCAUAUAUACCUUUAUUUCGUGUUAUCAACUAACAGAUUUAUGAUAAAAUCUGGACAAUAAUGAAUUUGAUAGCAAUGAAAUGAAAUGAAUCUGUGUGUGUUUGGCGGCUCGGGUCGCGGUUUAUGGGUGUAGUGGAAUAGGGAGGGGUGGGGAGUGGAAGGCAGCUGGGAGCCAAUGUACGCACGGCUUGUUAAAAAUUUUUGCCCGGUGACUGGGAUCUAUUUUUCGAGGCCAUGGUUGACCGUUUCAUUCUCUAGAGAAGAUAGAUUGCUUUUCUGCUGAUUCUUUUGAUUUUGUUGGUUCAUAUGUUUAGAUAGAUGGUGCGUUCUUGCUGUUGCUAUCGACCACUGGAGCUGCUUGCUUUUCUUUUUAGCUUUUUGUUUUGUUUGACACUUGAUAUGGUCUUAGGCUCCGCUUCUUGAGAUGGAACGUUGCUGUUUUGUUCAAUUGUGAGAUUACAAGUUGGUGCACCCUAGGCCUACACAAAGACAUAUGCCAGUUUGAGUGCCAAAAGUGCUGCUCUGAUAUUCAACUAUGUUUUGAAGUUACGAAUUGCUUCUCUUUGUGUGCCGUGAUGUUGCAUAUAACGAAUUCAUGAUGUCCUUGUUAGAUUCUAGAGUAGUUUGCUAACAUUGGCCACAAGAGUAAUUUUCACAGUUUUUUAGGGGAGAUCCUCACUGUUUUAAGAAUGGCUAUUUCUGCAGAUAAUUUACUUGCAUUUUGUAUAGCUUGACUGCUUCUUAGCUGGCAGCGGCAUCUCAACUAGAUAGAUACUGCCCUUCCUUUAUGCCUAUGUCAUGUGAUUCCUCUUGUUUGUGUUUGUCGCCAGGAUUCAGGCCUAUACAUGCACCCUCUUGCUGGCCUUCGACGUGGUGCCUCGGCCUCCCAUAGAAGACCGGAAGUUUACAACAGCAGCAUCUCCGACCCCUUCCCGACGAGCUGCAUGUCGUAGACAAGGUCCCAGCGGAGGUAUGUCCUCCUCUCCUUCCUUCCCUUUCUUGCAAGUGCUUGUGUGAAAAGCAAUUUUGAUCAAAAAUAAAUCUGCUUAUGUAACGGGCUACCACUUCACAUUGAUUUCAAUGUGGCUUGUUUGUCGUAUCUUUAGUGUUUAGCAGUUCACUACUGGAGUGCAAUCUAUGCUUUAUUUUGUCAGUACAAGGGCCUCAGUUUUCUCCCGUGAAAGGGAUGCUUGUUGUUCACUGUCUCGUUUGUCUCUGGCUACGGAAGGCCUCAUUUCUAGUAUGUUUUAGUUUUACAAAGGGCCUUGUUCUAGCAUUAUUGGUAAACAGACUUGUCCUUAUCAAGUACUCCCUCCGUUCGGAAUUACUUGUCGCAGAAAUGGAUGUAUCUAUAUGUAUUUUAGUUCUAGAUACAUCCAUAUCCAAGACAAAUAAUUCCGAACGGAGGGAGUAAGUUACUUGGCAUGUUAUGUUCCUGUGAGCUUCUCUUUUGCUGCUGUAGUUGGGUGUUGUGCUGCAUGCACUCCAGCUAGAAGAGCUAGACUGGAUUAAUCAAUCAGCCCCCAACUAAAUCUCCACAGUGAAAGGAUGAUUGAUGUAUGCUGCCACUACCAACGUAGUAUAUACAUGUCUUGCCUGAAUAUAUAGGAAAAUUUACUUACUGAUUUAAGGAAGGAGCUAAACUAAACUCAACUGGUACGUACAGGUUGUGGUCUGGUUGUGCGACUGUCAUCUAGUAAAAUGUAGCUUGCUGGGUAAUAUGACAUCUGCUGCUGAUGUUGUCCUGUCGAUGCUAUAAUAUCAUAUAUGUUGCAAACCGGUAGGUACUAAUGUUUACCGGACCGGACUGGUGUGCAGGUGCCUGUGCAAUGAUGCGUCGAAAGCUUUGUUGGCGUCGCCCAGUUGCUGUUGGGCUCUUGUUAUCUUGUGGUGCGACCGAAUAAGGACGGACCGACGGAGGUCGUGGUGGUGAAGCCCGAGGACAUGAUGGAUGGAACCGUUUGUUGCUGUUCGUCGAGAUUAGUUGUUUCAAGAAUUGUUGUGCUGUGUUGGUAGGAUGGAUGCAUUGGAGUAGAUAGGUAGGUAGGUAGGUACUUGGAUAUCAUCCAUCCUGGUAGUGGUAUUGAUGGAUGGUAUAGGAUGAGGCAAAGCACUCGGGUUGUUGUAUUUCUACUCGCAAACACUAUGUGAUAUAUAGUUCCAUUGUUUCGAU